UACGUAGGUGGCAAGCGUUGUCCGGAAUUAUUGGGCGUAAAGCGCGCGCAGGUGGUUUCUUAAGUCUGAUGUGAAAGCCCACGGCUCAACCGUGGAGGGUCAUUGGAAACUGGGGAACUUGAGUGCAGAAGAGGAAAGUGGAAUUCCAAGUGUAGCGGUGAAAUGCGUAGAGAUUUGGAGGAACACCAGUGGCGAAGGCGACUUUCUGGUCUGUAACUGACACUGAGGCGCGAAAGCGUGGGGAGCGAACGAGG
rnacentral:rRNA from 1 species